GGCAGUCGCGGCCUAAUGGUCCGAGCGUUGGACUUGUAACCCGAAGGUGAACAGGUUGUGGGUUCGAGUCUCGGGUCUGGCA